rnacentral:rRNA from 1 species
GACGGGUGAGUAACGCGUGAGUAACCUGCCUUUCAGAGGGGGAGUAACGUUCUGAAAAGAAACGCUAAUACCGCAUAACAUCAAUUUAUCGCAUGAUAGGUUGAUCAAAGGAGCAAUCCGCUGGAAGAUGGACUCGCGUCCGAUUAGCCAGUUGGCGGGGUAACGGCCCACCAAAGCGACGAUCGGUAGCCGGACUGAGAGGUUGAACGGCCACAUUGGGACUGAGACACGGCCCAGACUCCUACGGGAGGCAGCAUG